UACGUAGGUGGCGAGCGUUGUCCGGAUUUACUGGGCGUAAAGAGCGCGCAGGCGGCUGGUCAAGUCCGAUGUGAAAGCUCCCGGCUUAACUGGGAAAUUGCAUCGGAAACUGAUCGGCUGGAAGGUGGGAGAGGGUAGCGGAAUUCCCGGUGUAGUGGUGAAAUGCGUAGAUAUCGGGAGGAACAACUGCGGUGUAGACAGCUUACUGGACCACUUCUGACGCUGAGACACGAAAGCGUGGGUAGCAAACAGG
rnacentral:rRNA from 1 species